rnacentral:rRNA from 1 species
UACGUAGGGGGCAAGCGUUGUCCGGAAUCAUUGGGCGUAAAGAGCGUGUAGGCGGCUCGAUAAGUCUGCUGUUAAAGUCCAGGGCUCAACCCUGGAAGGCCGGUGGAAACUGUCGGGCUAGAGUCCGGAAGAGGCGAGUGGAAUUCCCGGUGUAGCGGUGAAAUGCGCAGAUAUCGGGAGGAACACCAAUGGCGAAGGCAGCUCGCUGGGACGGUACUGACGCUGAGACGCGAAAGCGUGGGGAGCAAACAGG